CCUACGGGAGGCAGCAGUGGGGGAUAUUGCACAAUGGGGGGAACCCUGAUGCAGCGACGCCGCGUGUGGGAAGACGGUCCUCUGGAUUGUAAACCACUGUCCCCAGGGACUAAAAUGACGGUACCUUGGGAGGAAGCUCCGUCUAACUACGUGCCAGCAGCCGCGGUAAUACGUAGGGAGCGAGCGUUGUCCGGAUUUACUGGGUGUAUAGGGAGCGUAGGCGGGGAUGCAAGUUGGGGGUCAAAACUACCGGCUCAACUGGUAGUCGCACUUAAAACUGCCGCUCUUGAGUGAAGUAGAGGCAGGCGGAAUGCGUAGUGUAGCGGUGAAAUGCGUAGAUAUCAGGAGGAACACCAGUGGCGAAGGCGGCCUGCUGGGCUUUUACUGACGCUGAGGCUCGAAAGUGUGGGGAGCAAACAGGAUUAGAUACCCCAGUAGUC
rnacentral:rRNA from 1 species